UAAAAGUUUUAUCCUGGCUAAUAAUUCUUAUUUUUAGGUUGAUGGUACAUGUUAGUGUUGACGUGACAAAAUUCUUGUUUUGUUUAAUAUAAAAUGAGUUGCUGUAGUAGAGGAGUCUAUAAAAAAUUAAUUCUCAGUAUCUAGUGCUAAUUAUAAAUGUAAGUUGGAAUUGGUAAUCUUAUUUUUUUAUCUGGCUAAAAUUUGUGCCAGCAGCCGCGGUUAUACUGAGAGGUAGAUUAAGAAAUAUUUGGUUAAAAAUGAUUAGGUGAAAUUAGCUUAGUGAAAUUUAAAGGUUCUUAUUAAUAAAGGGUGAAAUCAGUUUUUUAGUAUAAGAAGUGUUAAAGCAUUGGCUUGAACUGAAGUUGUUAAGGUAAAGGUAUGGACCAGGAUUAGAUACCCUGUUACACUUUAUUUAAAUUUUAUAUUACCUGGGUAAUAAACAGUUAUUGUCUUGAAACUCAAAGGAUUUGGCGGUAAUUUAGUCUAUUUAGAGGAACCUGUCCUGUAAUCGAUAAACCACGAAAUAUCUUACCUUAUUUAGUAGUAAUCAGUUUGUAUACCGUCAUUAUUAGAUAACUUUAAUAAAAAUUAGUUGUUGUAAUAAAAUUUUUUAGUAUAUUAGAUCAAGGUGCAGCCAAUAGUAAGGAAGAGAUGGGUUACAAUGAUAUAAGUGCACACGGAUAAAAGAGUGAAAUAUCUUUGUGAAGGUGGAUUUAAUAGUAAGAGUGAUUUUAAUAAGUUACUCUGAUUUUAGCUCUAGAUUAUGUACACAUCGCCCGUCGCUCUCGUUAAUUAAAGCGAGAUAAGUCGUAACAUAGUAGGUGUACUGGAAAGUGUACCUAGAAAUUC
rnacentral:ncRNA from 1 species